UAGAAAUAGACACAAUAUAUACAUUACAUUACAAUAUGUACAACAUAAAAAGAAACAUACAACAUGAAAAAAACAAAAACAAAGUAUGCUGUGUGUGUCAUCGGUGGGCUGGGGAGACGGGAGAGACAAAAUAGUAUAAAACAGUAUAGGUUAUUUAAAAAAAUAUAUAGAAAAAGUGGGUACGUGUAUUUCUGUUUGGUUUCG